AACGAACGCUGGCGGCAGGCCUAACACAUGCAAGUCGAACGCCGUAGCAAUACGGAGUGGCAGACGGGUGAGUAACGCGUGGGAACCUACCUUACGGUCGGGAAUAGCUCAGGGAAACUUGGGGUAAUACCGGAUACGCCCUUGCGGGGAAAGAUUUAUCGCCGUUAGAUGGGCCCGCGUAGGAUUAGCUAGUUGGUGAGGUAAUGGCUCACCAAGGCGACGAUCCUUAGCUGGUCUGAGAGGAUGAUCAGCCACACUGGGACUGAGACACGGCCCAGACUCCUACGGGAGGCAGCAGUGGGGAAUAUUGGACAAUGGGCGCAAGCCUGAUCCAGCCAUGCCGCGUGAGUGACGAAGGCCUUAGGGUUGUAAAGCUCUUUUGGCGGGGAAGAUAAUGACGGUACCCGCAGAAUAAGCUCCGGCUAACUUCGUGCCAGCAGCCGCAGUAAAAC
rnacentral:rRNA from 1 species